GCCAGCAUGGUGUAGUGGUCUGAGUGUUGGACUGUGACUCCAGAGAUCAGGGUUCAAUUCCCCACUUGAGCA